rnacentral:tRNA from 1 species
AGUAAGGUCAGCUAAAUUAAGCUAUCGGGCCCAUA